NNNGGGAUGGAGCAGCAUGGUAGCUCGUCGGGCUCAUAACCCGAAGGUCGUCGGUUCAAAUCCGGCUCCCGCAACCA
rnacentral:tRNA from 1 species